rnacentral:rRNA from 1 species
AUUGAACGCUGGCGGCAGGCCUAACACAUGCAAGUCGAACGAGUGGCGGACGGGUGAGUAAUGUCUGGGACACUGCCCGAUGGCGGGGGCUAACUACUGGAAACGGUAGCUAAUACCGCAUACUAUCGGAUGUGCCCAGAUGGGAUUAGCUAGUAGGUGGGGUAACAGCUCACCUAGGCGACGAUCCCUAGCUGGUCUGAGAGGAUGACCAGAAACACUGGAACUGAGACACGGCCCAGACUCCUACGGGAGGCAGCAGUGGGGAAUAUGGCACAAUGGGCGCAAGCCUGAUGCAGCCAUGCCGCGUGUAUGAAGAAGGCCUUCGGGUUGUAAAGUACUUUCAGCGAGGAGGCGUUACUCGCAGAAGAAGCACCGGCUAACUCCGUGCCAGCCGCCGCGGUAAUAC